rnacentral:lncRNA from 1 species
UAAUAAUGGACAGAUUUCAACAACACCCAAACUUUUUCUCCCGUUUUUUCUUCUCCCGUUUUCUUUUCUCAGAUGAGCUGCUGUCCAGAUCUGCGAAUAUAAAGAACUUUAGCCGACGAAAAUAUAAUUUAGCCGACGAAGGAAAAUUUCGUCGGCUAAAGUGUACUUUAGCCGACGAAAAAUUGUUUCGUCGGCCUGUUUUUUUUUUUUUCGUCGGCUAAAGUCUUUCUUCUGGUAGUGUUUUCUCUGUUAACUGAUGACAAGGCCGUUAAAAAAUUGCCACAUCAGUGCCUAGUCAGCUCGAAAUUUUUUUAGUAUCCUAUAUUACCCCUGCAACACAGAAAACUCAGCUGUCCUAAAUUCAAAACCACCAAAUGAAGUGCACACACAUCAUCCCCCUAAGCUCAAAACCAGCAAAUACCCCAAAAGCUGAUCUGCAAAAUAACAUCAACCAUAAUCUAAAGCAAAACCUGCAAAACUUGCAAAACCUAAUACCAGAACAUGUACCAAGCAAAACCUGCAAAACUUAAUACCAAAAGUCCAAAACCUAUACCAAAACAUGUACCUGCAACCAUAAUAACAACCAACACUUUCCAAAUCCAUAACAGCAACCAAUAGUAAUAGGUAGAUCUCCAUUAAUUUAGAUUUAGAACUCUAACAUCGUUCAGUCGUAAUAGGCAGAAACAUGUUUGGCAUACUGUAGCUUAACAAAAAUGACCACAAAAGCCACAUUACAUCCCUCAUAAACUAUUGUAGUAUGUACAGAAUUUAGCUCUAAUCAUCCUAACAAAGAUUAGAGCUAGCAACUAAAUUACAUCGCACUUAGUUGCACAAAAAUAGGAUGUCUAAUAUUCUGCCUAUGCUAGAGUUUAGCACUACUAAUCUCCUUUAACUGACCUAUUUCUGAUUCUUUGAGAUGCUCUUGUUGAAGAUGCAAAUGCAUUUUGCCUUGACAUUGAAUUUAGGGCAGCUGAGCUUUGUGUUGGCCUUGAAGUCGGGGCAACUGUGUUUUGGGUUAGCCGUGAAGUUGGGGCAGCUGCGCUUUGGACUGGUCUUCCUCCAACUUGUAAAGGCCUUACUGUGGAUGAGGAUGACUUGGUUGCUGCCAACUUUGUAGCUUUGGCAGCAACAUAUUUUUCCUAAGCCAAUAAAAACACAUGAAUGUAAAGAGCUUAUACAGUUGAAAGAAAAUACGUUAGAAUCAUUUUAAUGGAUGCAAUAUAGCUGAAUUGUUACCCUUUGGUUCUUGGCAUUCUUCCUUGCUUUUGCCCUCAUUUCAUUCAGAGUCAUAGGAGGUCGCUUUGGUUUCUUCGGCUGCAAUAAUGUUGUACACGAUAAGUGACACAAAUAACCAUAAAAAUUAAUAAAACAAGAGUACUCUAAGGUGAUUAGAAAACUCCAAUACCUGAUCAGAAACUUGAUGCCCUUCAUUGCUGGCCUUCCUCUUCUUGUUCUCCUUUGGAGGCAAAUGCCUAUGGCAUGUUAUCUUAUUAUGCCCUACUAUACCACAAAUGCCACAUUUGAGGGAUCCGUAUUUUCAGAUGCAUCCUUAAACUUUUCAGAUUGAUCCUUUUUCCUUUUUGUCGACUUCGGCCUACCAGGCAUUCUUGAAUAUGAAGGAGGUAAGAUUGUUGGCCCCUCACACCUUGACCACAUGUCUGUACUGUUAAUAGGAUAGAUGAAAUUGCUGUAGAUAGCCAUGUAUGUCUUCUUCGAAUAACACUCGGCAACAUAAUCCUCGGGGGAUUCCCUCUUCCAGUAGAUGGCUGAAACUGCAUGCUUGCAAGGGAUUCCAGUCAAAUCCCAUCUCCUGCAGCUACAUGUUCUCAGCCUUAGGUCGACAACAUUCUUGGUUCCUUGAAUGGUUUCAACCUCAAAUCUAUCCCCACCAUUGAAAGUUAAAGUACAAUCUACAGCUCUAAUCUUGUUCUUAUCCAAAGUGUCUCUUGGUUUGGGGCAAAUAUUGUACUCAUACUUGUCCAUUAUCUGCCUUCUCAUUUGAAUCCUUUUCAUAAGCUUCCACCUUAUUUCUUCGAACAUGGUAACGGGAGGCUUCUUUCUAGCAUCCACGAUAACUGCGUUGAAACUCUCACAUAUAUUGUUGUCCAUGAUGUCACAAUUGCUGGUUGUGUUGAAAAAUGGCCGACACCAAUGUCUUGGAGGCCUAUCCUCAUCUGCAAAACAGGUUGAACAAAAACAGUAGUUAAAUCAUAAAGCUAAAACUGCAAAGCACCAAAACAAAAGGACAGUAAGCAUAUAAACUUUAUGAAAAAUUGAAGAACCAAAAUUUUACCGCUUCACUUACGUGUCAUCCAUUUGUAGGCAUCCUCAUUAAGAUCAUUCAUCUCUUCCAUGUCUUUAAGAUAGUAGGGCAUUGUAGUAUCCUUGGCACACUUCCACAUUUGAUCCUUCAAAACUUUUCCAGGAAAUAGUUUUGUGAAAUUGGUCCACAUAUGCCUUACACCAGUGGCGGAUCUAGGAAUCAAAACUUGUCUAGGCUAAUUUCGUAAAGGGCAUUUUUUUUUGUUAGGUUUGGAACACAGGCUCAUCUACCUCUAUUAUUUUGAAUCAAGCUGCACAAUGGAUUAAGGUGCAAAAAUCAAUUUGUAACAAUCAUCUCCUACAUUAUAUAUGGAUUAAGCUGCAAAAAUCAAGCUAUCAGGUCCUUAUCUUUCAUUCAAGAUACACACUAUAGAACACCCAAAACCUAUGCCACAAUCCCUCCAAUCUCAAAUUUCUAUCAUCAAUAAAAAUUGAAAAACCCAAUUGGAGCAUAUAGCAGAGGAAUCCUUAUUCAAGAUUGAAAAACUACAUAGAGUCAAUGAAUGAGUGUUAAGGAUUUGAUAUAUGGGAUCUGAAAUUGAUUGAAGAAUAAGGAAGAGGGACAAAUGAGAAGAGAAGAACUGAGAGGAGAGCGCUUUUGCCGUCUGUUCGAAGAGCCAAAGAGGAGAGCUAGUUGUGCAGCGAACUGGAACUUGCUAACUCUUUCUUUUUGCAGGUAUGGUAAUGGACUGUAAGUAUAUACACCUACUUAAGGGUUUUUGACCCAAAAUUCUCUCUAGGCUUCAGCCUAUGUAGCCUUAUACAUGUAUUCGCCCCUGCUUUACACAAAAUCUGAUUUCCCCGCUUGGCACAACCACUUGACAUGCAGGAAUGAGGCCUUUCUGCUUGUCACUAAUAAAAACCCAUCCUACUCCAUCUUCCUUGAUAUCUAAGUCCUUGCAAAGAAGUUCCAAAAACCAUAUCCAUGAAUCUUUAUUUUCAUUUUCCACCAUAGCAUAUACAAUAACCCAGUUGUUGUUGUUUGCAUCCACACCAACAACAGUCAAAAGCUGGCCUCCAAAUGGACUCUUCAAGAAUGCACCAUCUAAGCCUAUCACAAUUCUACAACCAGAUUUGAUUCCAAGGCUCCCAAACAUAUAUACAUUCUUUGAAAUACCGGAUCCUUAUUACUGUUGCUAAAAUCACACCUUAUAUCCACUGUGGUAUCAGGAUCAACCCUCUUCAACUCACUCCCAUAGUCUUUUAACCGUGCAAACUAAUCUCUGAUGGAACCCUCAACCUCCUCCAAAACCGCCACCUUAACCUUGUAAGCCAUCUGCUUAUUAACUUUUGCCCUCAGCUCACUUGACAUUGUCUUGGCUAAUGAUUAUGCAACAGUCAUAAAAAACAUUGUUAUGGUAUAAAACUCAGUAUGAUUUGCACAUAAACACCCCAUAAGAAAAUCACACAAACUCUCACCUGGGUUCCAGUCCGAAUUAAGGGCAAUUCAAUCCUUGAACUUCCUCACUAGAAGUUUCAUCCUCACCAUGGUAUUGUUAAACGUUCUAGUGCAUGUGUGGUGAGGAAUCCACUCCUUGAUCUUAAGAGUAUCCUCAUGUUGAGUUUUAGAAGCAAACAACAAAAAAGGGCAAUUAUCUUGCUUGCAUAUAGUCUUGAGUCUGACCUUGUCAUUCUUCUCAUACUAAUACUCCCAUCCCCCUAGUAAAGCCAUCAGUCUAAGAGCAUCCCUCAAUAUCAUGACACUACCAAACAUCAUGUUCAACUGGAACCGUGGUCUGACCAUGUCAAUUUUAGGGUUGAAGUACAACCCUUGUUCUUCCCUCUCACCAUCAAAGUUCACAAUGUAGUUGGGCGGUUCUUCAUCAGAAUCUACUCCUCCAAACAUAUCCUCAUUGUCAAUAAAUUCUUUACCCCCUUGCAGCAUAUUUUCUCCAUUUAUUGAUCCAUCAUAACCAUUGAGAAGUGAUCUUUUUCGUUGCUCUUCUUCAUCCACAAUUUCUUCAACAAUAUAAUCAUCCUCAUCAUCUCCAUACUUGUCAUAGUCCUCAUCAUCUGGUAGAGGGUCGUAAUCAGAAUCCUCACUAUUUGAAGGUUCAUCUUCAUAACCCAAUCUUCCUUGCCUCUGACCACCAUAGGACUGUAGAAAAUCCAAAAAAUCAAAAUUAUCAAAGUCUUGCAGAUUCCCAGCCACAUUCUGCAACAGAUUACCCUGCUCCACAACACUUGACCCAAAACCAUUAGAUGACUGCCCAAUAUCAUUUGAACCUUCCCAAGCAAGCUGAACUACCUUUUUACGUGGCUUCAUGACCUUAGGAACCUCAAGCUGUUUUUGCUUUCCUUUUUCCUUAUUAUUUUUCCCGCCAGCAAUGCUACAUUGAGUAGGCACACCCUCUGAAUGUUCUUUUAUCACUACUCCCUUGCUAGGUCUAGCCUCUUCUAUCAAAACAUUGCUUGGUUGCAUGACAAACAAAUCUUCAUAUAUUAAGAAGUCAUCAUCUUCUGGUUCCUUGUGGUCAAGGUAGAGAAAUAUCAAUCUCACAAGAGGUACAGGGGUACACAUCACCAAAACAUCCCAAUCAGACUCCAACUUCAUUAAACACCCUCUUUCAUCACCAACUCUAUACCAAUAAUCUAUCCGUUGGUGAGCAUGAGCUGGAUUAAUCCCCUGUAGCAUACUAUCUAUUUCAACAAAAGACAUCUUAUCUUUGUCCACGUUGUCAAAGUAGCUUGUUUUGCCUCCAACAUAUUUGUUGUCUGAUAUGCACCCUCCAUGCAAUAUCUUAAGUGUGAAAUAGUAUGGAUGAUCUGCAAAGACAAAUGGUACAGAGGUGAACUAAAAAUGGAAGUAAAAUGUUUUUACAAAAAGAAAAAGAAUAAAAAAAAUCCUCUCUCAACUUUACUCACAGCCCAGACUCUUUCCAAAAUAAAUCUAAAAUGCAAUGCAAACACAAACACACUCUAAUAGCAUCAACAGCGGCCACACACAGUCACAUUGACAACACAAACAAGACUGAUAGAUUGACAACACAAACAAGACUAAUAGACAUGGCAUAUACAUUGAUUGGUAUGGUAUGAUUUACGGCCCUAUGAUUUUACAAGAAAGAAUUAAUGGACUGCCUCAAUAAUGCAACUAGUAUUACAUAUGCGUAUAUAUAUGAAUUGACAUCACCUGCAACCUACCUUUGAGAAUUGAGUUUGCAUAUAUAAAACCUAGUACCCUUUCAGCUAGCUUCUGUUUUCAAUCUUCAUUAUAAAUUUGAUAUAAUUUUUUGAUUCUUGACGCAUUAGUUUGGUAACUGUUAUGAUAAUUGUAAUUAAGAGGAGGAUUUAUAUAGCAGAAGCCAGAAGGGAUGACCCAUAGUGUAAUACUAAUACAACAAGUUGACUUGUAAACAAAACAUAUAAAACAAGACUAGUACUAUAAUAUUUUUUAUAGAAGUAGAAUUAUUAUUAUCAUUAGUUUGAUGACCACAAAGCAGGAAAGCAAUAUGGCCUGCGUAGGAAGGAAACAAACCAACUAUAUACAAAUACAGUUGUUUACUCCCAAACCCAGAAACUCAAAACCUUGCCACAAAUAUACUCUCAAAUCCAGAAACUCAAAGCCCUAAAAAGUCAUAAGCCCACCAUAAUCUAUUAUCUAGAUAUCGAAACCAUCAAAAACAGAUUCCACAUAUUCCAAAUUAUCUAGAUAUUGAAACCCAGAAACCUUAAAGUUUGAAACCCAUAAAUUUUUGGAAUCGAAACUCACCAUAAGGUUGAAUUCAUUCGUUCAUGUCCCCUUCUUCUCGACGAACCCAAACCACGAUGUCCUUCACCUCCAUUGUUGAAACACCCAACCCUCAACGGUUUCAAACUUCAUGGGGUUUCUACCGUCUUAACAGAGAAUUGGGUAUGCGCGAUAGAUUCAGAGAAGUGAAUUUAGGGUUUUGAGAGAGAAGAAGCGAUGGGUUUUCAAAAGAGAGUUUUGAGAGAGAGUAUGAAUCUGAUGAGAAGAGGCGAUAUGUUUUCGACAAGAGUGAAUCUGAUGAGAUUAGGGUCGAAAAAGGAGUGAAAUCUGACAAGGGCAUUUGAGUCAGUUCAUGUAAUUCUCGGCUGACUAGGCAUUGACGUGGCAGUUUUUAACGGCAAUAUCAUCAGUCUAACGGAGAAAACUAACGGAAGGAUCAUUUAGAUGAAAAAUCGUGACUUUAAGGACCAUUCAGAUUAAAAUGAAAUUUCAAGGACUAAACAGAUGUAAACUGUAAACCAGAGGGACUAAACAAAUUUUAAUUCUUAAUAUUAUUUUCUUCCCAUUAUCAUAAUAUUUCCGUUGGUUUGUACUCUUUUUUUAUUCAUACUGCCCAGUUACCUUUUUAUUUAAAUGUAGUAUGUUAGAUCAUGAUCUAGUGGCUCAUAUUAAAUGCUCGUUAUUUGACCGUUUUUUUUUUUUCCUAUUUGGGACAUGCGCAUAUGGGUGCUGCAAGUGGGCUAGGGCUGGCAUUGGUAGGUAUACCGACUCUAUUUACCAAUACCAUGUACCAACCAACUUAAGGUUGGUAGACAAAAUCUUGUAUCAAUACCAACCGUCAAAGUUGGUAUACCAACUUAGUUGGUACGGUUGGUACUCGGUUGGUACGGUUGGUAAUGGGCCUCUACCAAGUAUAGAUUGAGGCCCAACAAACUGAAAGACCCAACUCAUUUGAAUCAUUUUUUUGAGCCUCUAUCAAGCUUCUAUCAAUUAUCAAACUAUUCAAACACAUUCAAAGUUUUACACAUCAUAUAAUUUCAAAUGCAACAAGCCAACAAUGUCCAAAGUCUUAUACAGAAAAUUAAACAACACAUGUCCAAAGUCCAAACAACACAGAAAAUUGAACAACACAAGCCAAUGAAAAAACAAAAGUCCAAAUUAGCAGAAACUGGACAAAAUUUGAAGGGCUUUGAUGCUGCGAGGCCGGGAGAGUGCUAGACUGCUAAACACCAGUUUGGACAGAGUAUCUUCAGGUGCAAAUGAAGGUGGCAGAGGUGUUGUUAAUGAUGAAGCCUGUAAACCGGCAGUCAUCUCCUCAUAUGCAACAUAUGGAAAUGAUGGUGUUGAGCUUGAAUUGCCUACACAACCACUCUGCGAAGACAUGGAAGAGUCCAUAGCCUAUGUGAAACACAUCUAAUAGAUUAUACUCAUCACAAAUUAUACUCAUCAGUCAUCACAAAUUAUACUAACACAGAACAAAUUAUACUCAUCAGCUCAAAUUAUAGAACACACUAACACAGAACACAGAAGUGAAGAACAAAAACCAAAUUGAUAGAUAACACAAACUAUAGAUAGCACAAACAGUCAAACACAGAAGUAAUCGUACACAACACAGAACACACAAACACAGAAGUAAUCGUACACAAUCAUACACAAGUAACACAAACACAGAACACACAAACAUAGAUUGAUAGAUAGUUAGAUACAUACGGAGAUUCGAGGCUUCUCGAACGGAGUCGUCGGAGAGUCGAGGCGCUGCCCUUGGUGUUGCCGAGUCGACGGCGAGAGAGGCGAGGUGCUACCCAGUUCUCGAGGCGAGGUGCUGCCCAGUUCUCGAAGCGAGGUGGCAGAGAUGCUGCGAAGUCGAGGUGGCGGAGGUGCGAGGUGAGGUGGCGGAAGUGCAAGGUGCUGCCGAGUCGAGGUGGCGGAGGUGCGAGGUGCUGCCGAGUCGAUCGAGGUGGCGGAGCCGCGGAGGUGCGAGGUGAGGUGAGAAUCGAGAGACUUUGACUCUUUGAGCGAGAGAGAGUAGAGACUGAGAGAGGCGAGAGAAGGAUAGAGAUUGAGGGACUGAGGGACUUAGGGUUAGAUCAAGUGAUCAACGGCUUGGAUAAUGGUUUUAAUUAUUUUUUAUUAUUUUUAAUAUAACUCGGUUGGUACACGGUAUACUGUAUUUUAGGAAAACUUGUACCAUGUACCAACCGACUUCUCAAACUUGGUACGGUACUACUGUACCGAAAACUCGGUUACCAACUACUUGGCAUACCAAUUUACUUGGUACGGUUGAUACAUGGUUGGUUGGUUUCGCCAGGGUCCAAAUUGCCAGCGUGGGCAUCACCUUUUAGCUAAUUUUAUGUGGGGUUGUGUUGUCUUCUACCCCAGACUAAUUCAGGGACCAAAAAUUACCCCGGGUAUUAACUUGGUUAGGUGGGUCUCAUGUAGACCCCAUGGUUACCCCAGACUGACUCUUGCCGGGUUUUUUGGCCAACAUCUGCUCUUACCCACUCUCUCACUCCAUUGCAGCAUCUAAUCUAAAGGAAAAGAAAAAUGAAAAGGAAAAAUAGGUUUUUCAUUCAUGGGGGCUGUUUCUUACAUGUUACUAUUUAUACCCAUAAUGGGCCAUCCGGAUCUUGCCACUUGGCAGUAGAGGCAGACUUAUGACGGGGCAACUGGGGGCCAUUGAUCCCACUUAGGUUCUGACAUUUGCGCUUAGUUUUUUUUUUUUGUUUUCCUUUUAAUGCUUAGCCCCUGAUUUCUAAUAUAAAUUGUAUUUACUUAUGUAAAUUUAAAGUUAAUCCUAAUCUCAUGUGUUUUGUAUUCUUUAGUUUUGUUGAGAAACCCUAGUUUUGUUGAGAAACCCAAAGCAACCAAACUUUUAGUCUACCCAAGUUCUAGACUUCCAGCUUAGGUUCAACUCUUUGCUUUCGUCCCUCUUCAAGUCUAACUUCAACAUACUCUUGCAGUCGUUGAUCUCUAUACUUUUUCAAUUCAAGUAUUCAACCCUUGUUUAAAGCAUAUGCUAUUCUUUUGUUUUAGUUACAAGGUUUUACAUAGUUGGAAAAUUGGAAAUAUGUCUUUUGAUUUUGUGUGUUAUUCUUGAUUUUGUACAAUAUAAAGGAAUGAGUAUAUCUAUAUAACUCGAUGACUUUGGUGCCCAAAAAGCAAAAUAUGCCCCUAUGAAAAUUUAUUCUUGCGUCCGCCACACUACCGGGUAGCCAUCCAACUAAACAUGAAUAAACCCUAAGACAUAUUACAUAAUAUAACAUAUAUAGUUGAUCAAAUGGUACAUGUGCCACACGUGUGGGAAAACCACUUCUUUAAAUGUCACUCAAGCUUUCCUAAAGUCAUUGGGAAAUUCAUAGCAUAUUCGUAUUAAUCAAGACUCACAUAUUUAACAAAGAAACCUACUAAUGUUGAGUUUUACAACUCAUCUACGAUCAUUCUAAGAGAACAAAUAUACCUCAAUGAUAUUGUUUAAAUAUAAUAUUGUAGUUAUACGUAUGAGGAUGUUGUAGGUAAUGCGAGGAUCAAAUAAUUGUGCAAAUGUCAAAUAGUUGUGCAGGCCAAGAUAAUAUCUGCAAGACAAAACACGCACGCUAGAGAGAUACCCGGGCAUCAACCCUUCGACGCUCAAGUCAAAAAGGGAUUCAUCUUUGAGUAAUAAGGAAUAGAAUGAGUUAGAUUCAUUUAGAGGUGGAGAACGGUCGUAUAUUUAUAGGCAGUUGGAGGGUUUGGUGAGGUCCAACUGGUGACAUCUGUUGCACAUAUGCGGGUCACAAACAUAUCCUCGCGUCCACGAACGGCAUCAUAUGAAGGAAACGGAUCCGUACUCUUGGUUUACGGAAGUCUCACCAGUCGGGUGGUACCCAUUGACAGAUACAAUGUCACAUUAAUGUGGUGGAAGUCGUACCAAACCAAUACCCCAGUAAAUCAACACUACUUGGAGGUGACAACGAGACCUAGAGGAUGGUGUUGAUGUCAUCAAUCAGAACUCGCAGCCAUAACGAGGAGGAGAAACGAGUUGAGAGAGAGAGAGAGCUCCAAGGUUCUUGCGCGUCUCCCUUCAUUUUUUCUAUUUUCUUAUGUACUGCUCCCCGUCGAACUCACUCAUUAGGUCUAUAUAUAUUUUUGAUACGAACAGCUCUAAUCAAACGAUGAUAAUUUCUACUGUCCAAAUUACACCACAAUAUUUUCUUUUUAUUUAAAUGUAUUCUCAUAAUUUUCAAACUUUAGAAAUUCAUAUAAAAUAGUUUGAGACUCCGAAAAACUCCUCGAUAAUUCUCACGAACUUGUCCUGACGUAUACAUUAAUAUCAGACACUUAUAUCAAGGUUGUCACCUUAAUGUGGUGGAAGUCAACAAACUCCAAUAACGUCGAGAGAGCUUACUAUUUUGAUGUUUGUAAAAAUCAAACUUCGCUAGCAAAAAUUGUUGUCAUACUAAAUUACUAACACACCAACCACUAGCUAGAGCUAACCACAACCAAUCAGGAUAGACAUGUGUCCAUUUAAACAUAUUUUGUCGGCAAAUUAAGAGACAUAACAUGGGGGUAUUCAUCAAUAAUAUUAUAUAAUAUAUUUAUAAAAUAAUUUAAAUGGACAUGUGUCUGUCCUUGAUUGGUUAUAAUUAACUCGGUUGGGCAAAGAUGGAACCGGGUCACUAUCCUAGAGGGGCUAGACAUGACCGCAACUUAAGAUUCAAGUAAUGUUACGCACAUCGAUCUACGAAAACUUUUGCUUGCUUGGAGGAAUCCAUUUUCACGAACAAACACAACCUGCUAGCAGAGCCAACCCCAACCAUUAUAGUGAUGAGACGAAGCAUCAUUGCACAAUAUCUAACUGCUCCGGUCCUUAUUGUUUGCAAUAAAGUGCCUUAAGUAGCCACUGAAGAGUCCUUUAAUUCUCUUCGUCUGAGCUUCCAAAUAGAUACCUAUGGUAGGUAUCUUACCAUACGAUACCGACAAUCGUCUUCUAACAUUACCGACCUUUAAAUAUAGUGGUUUUCUUGGGUGACUGAUCCUGUCAUAAUCUACUUCUACUUAUGGCCCCGACAACUGAAGCCGAACAUAUAUACGACCAUCCUCAUUCAUGAAUAACCGGGAGGAAAGAAAGUGUGGUAAAUUAUAAUGAAAAAGUUUCUUUGAACAUGAUAAGAUUUAUAGCGUAAGAAGGAGUUGAUCGUAUCAUUUUAACUCGGUUCCGACUUCUCUACUUUUUAGUCAAAUUUUUUCCAACCACUAGGGCUACGGAGUUGCUCACUUCCACCACUACGCAUACGUAUAUUACUCCAAAAAAUUAUUAAAUGUACAAAUCUUCAAGUCAGGUAAAUAUUUAUUUUCACGAGAAUUUUUCCUAUUUUUGAGAGUAAAAAUGUAACGGCUAGAUAUGUGCUAAAUGUAAAUGGUAUGCAGAAAAAAGAUGCCGCCAUGGCCAUAACUCCAAACUGAGAGAAUAUACAAGGUUUUAUACCAAGUUGCACACAAAACGGAAGCUUUGUUAGUCGUGUGUAUGCGUUUGUGGUUGCUUGUGUGCGUGCGUCGGUGCGUGAGAGAGAUGAGUACUGAGUGCAUAUCAGAACCCACAGUAAAGUGUCCAUUGUUACUCUCGUUUUAAAUGCACGAAGCAGAGAGAAAAUAUGAAUUAUAAAUUAAAAAAGUUACAGACUUUGUCCAUAUCUAUUUGCGGUUUAUAUUCUCAAAACUCAUCACUCAUCAUCAGUGAAGCUCUCGGAGAAGAAAACUAGGUGGGUCUCUUCUAUCUUGUAUGGGUCUGUAUUUUCGUUUCACUGAUCGAUUCUCUGUAUUGGGUUUUGGGUCUUGAACUGUUUCUUUUGUUUGAAAUAUAUCUGCUAGUUACUGUAAGUUUCGUGCUUUUGAUUUCCAUUAGGAGUUUAUGACUGUUAGUUGAGCGAAGGUUCAUACUUUGAUCAUAUUUUCUAGUACCCUUUGAUGCAUUUGAAGGAUCGAUCAAUCAUUUACUGUAUUUGAACCUGCAUUUGCCCUUGGCUCUGAUACCCUUGAUUGCUUUGUGGGUUCCCUUCCCAGUUGAAUUGGAUCUUUUUUUGACAAUCAGUUGAAAUGAAUUUGGGGGUUUAUUUGGGAAAGUGAAGCUUAUCUGUUAGGAUGUUCUUGGUUAUCAUAUACAUCUGAUUUUAGUGUUAGUGGACAUUUUAAAAACAUUACAGAAGUGGGAUUUAUGGAUUUUACUUGUUGCUGCACUUGUUUUGGAUUUUGGGCUCCUUGAGUACUAUGAACUGUAUCCUCUAGCUUGCACUGGGACUUUUGAUUAGUUACCAUAUCAGAAAGUUUUAAUCUUGAUCUGAUAUUUCUUUUGUUACAGAUCAGUAAAGUUUCGGGUUUUGGGUAUUUGAUUUUCUUCCCCACCUAUAAUAAUGGUUCCAUGAUCAUGGUUUACCCUGCUUUCCUAUAUGAUUAAGUCCAGUUGGUUUGAGACUUUGAGUUGCUUUUGUGAAGGUAUCUGGUCAUUGCUUCCUUGCCUUUGAUGAUUGGUGCAUACUAAUUUCUUUUUAAAUCCCUUUUUUUAUGUUCACUCAAGCUUUCCUAUUUGUAUAGCAAAGAAAAUGGUUGAUGUUACUACAUUGCCUCUUCACUCAAUUCUGCAUUGGUUAUUACUACAAUUGAUUCAGUCUACUUUUAUUGUUUUUGUCAGGUUUUAAAUCAAAGCGGUAAGGAAUUGCUGGUUCGUCGUUAGAGACUGGGGUCUUUAUCAUAGAGGAAGAUAAGUAUUUCACAUGCAGAUUGUUUGUGUAUGAUGAUCUAAUGGUUGAUUCUAGUAGUUUAAAGCUGAAACACACUAGUAGCAUACUUUUCAGUAUUCCUGAUUUCUUCGUAGGGUUUGGUAAUAAAGGUUCUUUAGAUUCAGACUCAGUUAGGAGCCCUACAUCUCCUCUGGACCUCAGGCCUUUUUCAAAUCUUAGCAACCCAUUUAGACUUCGGUCUGCUAGAUCAUUAUCUCAAAAUGGAAAUCAUAAGAUAUGGGAUUGUAGGAAAGCAGGCCUUGGCAUCGUCAAUUCCCUUGUUGAUGAAACCAAAGCUACUAGUGAAGUUCUUGGUUCAUCGAAGAGGAAGACCAUAAUUUUUCGACCACAGUUGGAAAAAAUCAACCCUCAUUCCUCAAAGCUUCGUUCUGGUUCAAAGGAUUAUUUCAUGAAAUCCCGAUCUUUACCUAGAAACUAUAUAAUUAGGCCACUUUCUGAAACCAUAUCUCUCAGGCUCCAACUCAAACCAGAUAAGGUGGAUGUUUCCUCUGGGAGUGUGGGACUUCUUUUAGAAUCUGAACCAUCUGAAAACAUUGCACCAUUUUUGUUGGACUCCAGCAGGGCUUCCUCACAAAUUGUCUCUAUGCAAGGAGAAAAUUCGUUGGGUUUUAGACCUAGUUCACUUCCAGCACCAAUUGUCUCUAACCCUCAAUCUGCAUCCUCUAUCCCUGCUAGAGAGAUGGAACUCUCUGAGGACUAUACCUGUAUAAUUUCUCAUGGUCCAAACCCGAAGACCACUCAUAUAUUUUGUGACUGCAUAUUGGAAUGUCACACAAAAGAUUUAAACAAUGUUGACAAAGAAACAGUCGAGAUAAAAGCACCUCAACUAGGUAAGCAUCAGGAGGGAUUGACACAUGACCCUUCAGAUGAACUUUUGGGAUCCUGUUACACCUGCCAGAAGAACUUGGAAGGAGAGGAAAUUUACAUGUGCAGGUUUGUUUUAAACCUCUAGGUGCAAUUUUUACUUAAGUUCCACAUUUUUGAGGCUGAGCUUUUCUCUGAAUGUUGCAGAAGUGAGAAAGCAUUUUGUAGUUUUGAUUGUCACUCAGAUAAGAUUUUUGCUGAAGAGGAAGCAGAAGGUACUUGGGAUAAGUCUGCAGGAAGCUCUCCUAAAAGCUACCAGGAAGAUCUCUUCUUAUUGGGUAUGCAUAGUCAUGAGACUCCGGACAUAGAGUAGUAGUAGCCUCAUAGGUCUUGUUCUCUAUAAUCAUAAUUGGAUGAUUUCAAGUGGCUAAAAGCCCUGGUCAUCAGUUUUCUUCUCCCUUUUGUUUCCUAGUGUUUUUGUGUGCAAGUGUUCAUGCAAAAAGUAUUUUGGACCACUGAACUCAUUGUUGAUUGCAUGAGGUACUGAAAUAAUAGCUGCACUUUUUGGGUUACUAUUUCAUAAGCUUCGAUGAUUUCUGUUUUGAAGUAUGAUGGUUUGGUUCACUUAAUGGUCAGAAAUUAUGAUAAACUCUGCUUGUGUCACUUGUUUAGUUCUUUAACUAUUAUGUAUUAGAUUGAUUAAGGUUAUAGAAACUAUUGCAGGAUUGCCCAUUUUGUGUAAUGCGUCAAAGAUGCGUGUUAACUUUGUGAUUAGAUAUGCCUAUAGUCCUAGUCCUCUGUAGUUUGCAAGAUCUGUGCUCCAUAUGGCGAGAACUUGCUAUACAUUUUGGAUUUUCUUUUAGUGUAAACCCAUUUGAACUUGCUUACUGAGAGAUCAUUGCUGCUACAUUUCCAAUGGUUAGUUUUGUAAAGGUCGUCUUCUCUUCCAGAUUCAUUUUGUUUUGGCCUACCCUCUUCUUUUUUUAAAGCUUCCUUUACCUUCAGUAUGUCCUUUCAGGUAAUGAGGUUCUUGUUGACCCUCAUUCUUAAAUUUUGAAAUGAACAUAUUUGUUCCGGGAGCCUUUCUAGUGAGGACUCUUAAAUUGAGGACUAGUUGAGGACUUUCCGGUUUAUGGUUUAAAAGACUUAUUUUUCGAUCACAUCUUGGCAUCUCAUCCGUUCAGUUUUUAGGUCUAUAUGUGUAUAUCAAUCCUACAAAUUUUCAGCCAAAUAAGUGAUCGUUAAGGUAACAAACUAGAUCAAAUUAAUGGACGAACCAAAUCUGUCAAAUAUGAACCGUUCAAGUUCAUAAUUGGUAAAUCACACUUAUGAAUGUCUUAACGAUUUUCAAUAUGGUUGAAAAUUUACAGAAAUGAUCUACUUAUAAAUAUCUAUAAACUGAACGAUCAAAAUGUGAAUAUAGAAUUAAAAAGUGAGAUAAGCCAAAAAAAUCUUUAACUAAUCAUCAACUUAAAAGUUUUCGUAUAUUCCCACCACCUGCAAAUAAUUAGUGUCAAGUUGGGGACUCUACAUAGUGACCCAGGUCUGCGUAUCCCUACAAAAGUAUAUCUCAGAAGUUGGUACGAUGUGUAGCAUCUCUCUCUUCACAUGGGGGCAUUAAGCAAAGGAGCAUCCACAUAUUUUUGAAUGACAUAACUUUGGAAGUUCCCCCACACUCAAAGCAAGCCUAGCAUAACUGCAUAAACUCACCAUGUUUGUCUCAUCUGGUUUACCAAAUCAUUUCCACAAUUCCACUGUUGUUCUAAACCUCCGUUAGAGUUUCAACUGUUUUCAAACUUGUGGUAUCUAGUCUGAGACUUGAGCUGGAAAAACAAGUAAAGUAAUGGCAACAAUUCACCAUUUCACUGUGCAUAUGAGUUAGCAGUGAACAGUAAAACAGAUUAAUGGACCGCAAUGUGAGUCAACUAUAUAGUAGUGCACACCAUUUGGCUCUACAGAGUCUCACAUUGCUGAUUCUCAAUGUCUACUAGAUUUGGUUGAGGCUACGAGAUGGUACUAGUUCCUCCUUCGCUUAUGAUUUCUCCCAUCGUAUUGUUUCCGAGGCCUCGUCCAUUGCAAUUCUUUGUUUUCACAACGAAGAGCAACAGAAGUAUUCUAUUUCAUUGUGGUUCUUAUUUUGUUUAACUUUUAUAUUUUCUUUUUUCGGUAUAACAUUUAAAGUUUUACGAAGCUUUAUGACUCAAUACCGUAAGAUUGUAAAUUAUCUAAGCUAUAUGUCAUACAACGAGCAAAUCUACGGUCAUGUAGAGUUUACUCAAAUUUAGUACCACAAAGUUAUUAGGGUAUUCAUAGAAUCACAGAGGGGUAAAAAGAAAUAUCUUACAUUUUCAAAAAAGAAAGAAAAUGAAAAUAAGGAAAAAUCUGGGUGGUAUAAAUAUGUAGCUUUCGCAGAAACUGAAAAUUGAAAAGAGCAAAAAGAUCAAAACUUUGAGCGCUAAAGUCUAUCCUCAUAUCCAACCAAAGAUGGGUUUUGCAAUGCGGACCUCCUGCUUCUUACACUCUCCCCUAUUCCCCUUCUCUUCUUCUUCUCACUCCAAAACCAGAAAUGCAGAGACCAACUCAAGAACAAGAAGAACAAGAAGCAGCAGAACGACAACCGUGGCAAUGUCGUCUAUGCGCCAAGACGACAUCAACGACGGCGAUCACGGCAAGCGGAGGGCUAUUCUCUUUGUGGGUAUCACUGUUCUUCCUCUGUUACAACUCAGGGCUCACGCCUUUGAACCCUUUCCCACUAGUAAGUUUAUUUUCAAAGUUGUUGCUUUGAGUUUGUGAAUUUUAGGAAAUGGGUUGUGAAUAUUUUGCUCAUUUCUUGUUGGGUUUUGAUGUGAGGUAAUGGGUUUGUUGCAAAUGGGUCAUAGCAUUUGAAGUUUGAAACUUUUAUUACAAGUUGGUCAAGGAUUGUUUGUGAAAUCUUGAUGAUUUUUUAUUGAAAGAUGUAUAGGUAUGUUUCAAAUGACCUUGUAGUUCUGUCAGUACCGUAUGAUUCAUAUGACAAUGCAGUUUGAAGUUGAAGUUGAAGUUGUGGGCUGCUAGUUAAGGUGUUGGAAUUGAAGUUGAAAUUCGAGUUGAUUAAGCAAUAUUACAGGAUUCCUAGUAUAAUUCCUUUUUAAAGGCUUCACAUUAAGAUGGGAGUUAGAUUCCAUUCGUAAUAUAUAGGUCAUUAUAUGCUGCAUAUACAUUUAAGAUAGUGAAUCACUUGAGAUUAGGAAUAUUAUGAAAAUGUAGUUUUUUCUUUUGUACUUCUCCAAAUCUCUAUGUGGAUUGUUAAUAAAACAAAGAUUCAAAAAAUAAAGAACAAAUUUUACCCAGCUUUUGAUGCUGUUUUAACUUUUGCAGACAUAAUAUAGCCAUCUCUGCUAAUUCAAAUGGUAAUAUUAAGUUUGGUGUCAACAACAUUUAGACUUUUGGUUCCCAAAUGCUGAAAAUGUCGGAAUGUCAUGGUAAUUGAGUGUGUGUUUUUUUUUUCCUUCUAGAUUUAAUAGCACCACUUGCAUAAGUUGACAGAUUAGCUUAGGCGCAGGUACUGGAAUAAGUCAUGCCUGAGAAAGGUAUUAUAGGUGAGAAAACCAUAUCUGAUGCCCCAGAUACCGGUUCAAUUCUUCUCUUGAUUCAAGACUAAGUAGGAAAGCAACGGGACUAAAGACAUCUUUCACUCCAAGUAGCUAAAGAAUGUAUCAUACUGUGGGCUGUAAUUGGCCUAUUUACACCCUUUUUUUCAUCCUUUAUUAUAUGAGGAGUCAUAGGAGAUGCAGUUCUAGUAAAACCUACUCGUGCUACCUUUGCAGUGCAGAUUUUAGGUGCAUAACUUUGUUCAAAUCGUCUUGGUUUAAAUUGAUAAUAUUACAUAAGAUCAUUUAGGGCUUUUUCUUUUAAAAAAGAAAAAAAAAGCGUCUUAUAUCAAGGUUCUUACUUCUGCUACACAUAUAGGUCUUUCUUAGCAUGGAUCACUGUUCCAUGAAACACUUGCUCCUUGUAUCCAUUCCCGCAUCGAUUCAUGGUUUGUUCAUGCAAUGAUCUUUUUUCUUUAUCUUUUUGCUUUUUCAGAAGAAAGUGAGCCAAAGACUCCAGACAGUAACAUAAAGGCAGAGGUCUGAACACUAAAUUGCUAUUCAAUCCCAGUUAAUAGCUUACAGUAUUUUAAUGGUGGCAUAAUUGCCAAUUUGCUACCCUUGAAUUCACCUUAGUGUCAAUUUGCUACCCUAGCUUUUAUUUCUGCCAAUUUGCUACCCCAGCUUUCUAAAUUGGAUUAAAUUCAGUUUACCUCCCCCCCCCCCCCCCCGAGGUUUGGGGUUAGCAUCAUUUCAGCCAUCAUACUCUUAAUUUUGAAAAUUUAUUUCAAUUUUCAUAAAUCAUCCCCAAUUGCUGAAAUUUUGUCUAAUUUGGACGUUAAUUUUGACUUCAUAACUCACUUUAAGGGCUAAAAUAGUCAUAUAACAGCAUAAAUCACAUUUUAGAACCUUUUUUCUAAGAUUUCAUGCUAGCAUUUAACAUCCAAAUUGGAUAAAAUUUUAGCAAUUGGGCUUGAUUUAUGAAAAUUGGAAACUUUAGGGGUAAAUUUUCAAAAUUAAGAGUAUGAGGACUGAAAUGAUGUUAACCCCAAACCUUAGGGAGGUAAACUGAAAUUAAUCCUUCUAAAUUUGCUACCCUAUGUUUUAUUUUAGCCAUUUUGCUACCCUUGUGUCAAAUUUAUGACUCUAGACUUUCAAUAUUAACCAAUUUGCUUACCUACAUAUUCAAAUUUAGCCAUUUGCUAUCCGACAUUUUCAAAAGACAUCAAUGUUUGGAUGGAGAAAUGGAUCAAUUUAUGUGACAAAAGGUAGCAAAUUGGCUAAUUUUAGAAACCUAGGGUAGCAAAUUGGCAGAAAUAAAAGCUAAGGUAGCAAAUCGGCUAAUUUUGUGAAGCUAGGGUAGCAAAUUGAAACUUAAGUGAAUCCUAGGGAAGCAAAUUGGCAAUUAAGCCUUUAAUGGUUGUAAUGAGGCUUAAUAUUCUAAAGAGAGCAAAUCAUUGAACAGCAGGUACUGCAAGGAGAUGCCCCAAAUCCCAUUUUGUCUAUCCUGAAUGGUCUUGGUAUUUUCAGCUCUGGUGUCAUCGGUGCUUUUUAUGGAUUGGCUGAGAAAGAAAAGAAAGCCGCUGAAGUAAUAGUAGAAUCUGUAAGUCUGCACUUCCACAGUCAAGCUUUACUUUACCUGCCGUGAUAACCCAUAAAAAAUAUGAGUCUAGACCCUUUAAAAAGGAACUUCAUGAAAUUUAUGACUAUUAAUCUACAAUGUUUGUCCUUGAAUUUUUUGCUCUUUUAUUGUAUGUUCAAAUGGUUAAGUAGAAAUUAAUUUCUGAGUCUGAGCCUGAUAAACCAUAGUCCUUUGGUUUUGUUCUCAUUGCAAGGAUGUACUUUUGGAUGAUUUGCUUGAUGUAAUCCACAUCUCCUGUGAUUGAUUUGCACAGAUGAAGAACCAGCUGAAAGAAAAGGAAGUUGCUAUUGCUUCCUUGGAGAAGAACUUUGAGUCAAAGCUACUGAAUGAACAGGAAGAACGGAGAAAGCAACUUGGAAAAGCAAAGGAAGAGCAGAGGUCUCUAACAGACCAACUAAAUUCAGCCAAAAGUACUAUUGUGGGCUUAGGGAAGGAGCUAAACGGCGAGAAGAAGUUGAUUGAGGAGCUUAAAGUUCAAAGUGAAAACCUUAAAACAAACCUUUCAAAGGCUACCGAAGAUAAGGUAGAGCUUGAAGAAAGUUUGAAGGAAAAGCUUCACUCCAUCGAAGAUUUGCAGGGAAGGAUUAAUUUGCUCAAUUUGGAACUGAAGGACAGAGAGAGUAAUGUUCAAAGCCUUAGCUCUUCUCUUGCUGAAAAGGAUUUGGAGUUGAAGAACUUAAAGACUGCCUACAACCAAACUAAGGAUGAACUAGCUCAUGCAGUUUCUGAUAUUCAAGAAUUAAAAGUCGAACUCCUAAAGAAUCAAAAGGAACUGGAACUGAAGAGUUACACUGUGGAUGAACUGAAUUCAACAGUAAGUUCUUUGACUUCUGAGAAAGAUGAUUCUAAGAGGAAGUAUGAUGCUAUUCAGGAGGAAUACGAUAAUCUGAAAUCAUCCUCUGGAAAAAAGGCAGCUGCGGAUGCUAAUCUUUUGGGGGAAAAAGAUGAGGAACUUCAGCAGCUAAAGGAGAAACUUGAAUUUUCAUUGGCUGAAUCAAGUAGAAGCAAACAGAUAAUUGCUGAUUUGACCCGAGAGAAGGAAACCUUGAGGGAAAUGCUGGAUAAAGCAUUGAACAGUGAAGAGAACUUGAAACAUGAACUCCAUAUCACUCAGGAAGCUCUUGGAAAAUCUAGAAAUGAAGUUUCAAAUCUGGAACAUCAAUUAAAACAGUCUAGAAAUUUGUGUACCAAACUUGAAGCUGAGAUCUCUCGGGUCCAGGCUGAGUUUACUGGAGUUAGGGAAUCACUGCAGAGGAGCCUUGAUGAGGCUACAUCAAGUGGUGAUGUGAUUGCUACUGAGCUUGCUUCAGUAAAAGAACUUUUAAAGAAGACAGAAGAGGAGCUGCAGGGUGUGUCUCAUCAACUAGCAGUUGUUGCAGAGAAUCGUGAUAGCCUGCAGAAAGAAUUGGUUGAUGUAUAUAAAACAGCUGACAAAGCUUCUCAUGAUUUAAAAGAAGAGAAGGAGCGAGUUUCUUCUCUUAAGAAAGAACUUCAGUCUCUGGAGAAGCAAAUUUCAGAGAACAAUAAGUCCCGUAAGUGUCUUGAGACAGACCUGGAAGAGGCUACAAAAUCACUUGAUGAGAUGAACCGAAAUGCUUUAGUACUUUCCAAAGAGUUAGAGAAGGCUAAUUCUCUAAUUUCUAACCUUGAAGAUGAGAAAGAGGUGUUUUACAAGUCCCUUACAGAGCAAAAGAAUGCAUCCAAAGAGGCCCGUGAAAACAUGGAAGACGCCCAUAAUCUUGUCAUGAAACUUGGCAAGGAAAGGGUGAGUCUGGAGAAGAGAGCAAAGAAAAUGGAAGAGGAAUUGGCAUCUGCCAAGGGUGAAAUAUUGCGGCUGAGGAGUAAAAUAAAAUCUUCAAAAGAUCUUGUAAAUAAUGAGAAACCACAGAAAGCCAAGGCUGAAGGUGCUGUCACUGUUACUGCAAAGAGAGGUAGGAGGAGAAAGGCUCCUGCUGAAUCAGAGUGAACUACUGUCAGAGUCGUAAUUAGUUCUCCUGGUUACUUUGGGUAUUCCUUAAUCAUACUUUGAAGCCAUUUGUUCUCUGGCUUUCUCCUUCUCUAACUCGAAAUUCUUUCCCAGUACCAUUGAAUCAUAGGAACAAUGAUUUAUAUGCAACAAAUGUUGCAUAUGAAAUUGUGACUCUUGUACUUGUGCAGUGUAUAGUAGGAUCGUAUCAGUCCUAGAACAUAGUGGAUUGGUAGUACAAUCUACAUUUUCCUACGGAAGUGUUUUUGUAUUUGCAUUUAUUAAGUCCAGUGGCAAAUAAUUUUCUUUCACUUAACACAAACAGUGUGCUGCUGCAUUCUGCUGUCAUUUGACACAAAUUUGCAGUUACUUCUCAGAGAGAUAAUUACUUGGGUUAAUGCUGGAGCUGGUAUUGGCACAGAGAUAGGAAGUUAAACCCAGGGGGCAGAAGGAUUGAGGGUUUCUUUGGCCAUCAAAAGGACCACUUGGUAAGAUGCAUAUUUUCAAGCACUAAAUAUGAUAGAAUUAUGGCGGCUGGAUCAUACAGGCAAUGAAGUAACAACCAUAGCAAGUUACAAAUGAGAAAGCCCUUUCUGUAAUCCAAGACAUACAAACCAGCACAUCAGAGCUUACCUUUCCCCCUCCAUUGCCAUUUCUCUUCUAACAAACAACUAGGCUGCAUUAACAUAUUCAACGCUACUGAAAUGUGAGUUUCCUAAUAAUAAUAAUAAAUAAAUAAAAAAUGUGAGUUUCCUCUAGCCUCUUUGAACUGUUUAUAUCCAAUCUAUAGGUGAUUGUGGUUAAUAUGGUAUAUAUAUUAUGUUUAGAGAAUCAUCUAUCCUGCAGAAACAUGAAUAUGUUCCAAUGAAGAUAAUCAUAAAAUGAUUAACAUUAAACGUAAUUUUGAAGUUGUGGAUAUUAUUUUCGUUUUCCUCUUCAUAUCUUUUUGGGUAGUUACAACGACACUCGAACAAAGUGCAUGCUUCUACAACAUGCUCAAAAGCUUCUGGGAUAUGAAACAGGAAAAAACAAAAAAAAACAAAUGUAAUUUGCAACCGACCACAGUGGGAGUCGAACCCACGACCUUUUGAUCCGAAGUCAAACGCGCUAAUCCACUGCGCUAUGCGGUCGUUGUGGUACACACUAUUGCAUUACUGGUACAAAACGAAAUGGUUUUUCAAAAUUUUGGCAUUUCAUUACUCGUCUUACAAAAAAGUAAAGCACAAGGCAGCUUGCCUGGAUACAAACAACUAAACAAAGGGGAGCACCUU